AAGGGCUUAGCUUAAUUAAAGUGAUUGAUUUGCGUUCAGUUGAUGUGGGAUUUAGGCCUGCAGUCCUUA
rnacentral:tRNA from 1 species